UCCAAAGCAGGUAUUGCACUCACAAACAGGGCUUCCAUCAACAACCAAACCAUCCAAGUAUGCUCUUCCAUGGCCUGAGCAUGACACUGCUGCCACUGCUUCUGCUUCCUCUGCUGCCCUUCUGCUCCAACCCACCUCCCACUUCCCACUCACAUACACAUAUCUCCCCACAAAAAGUAUGUUAAGAGUCGCAGAACACAGCAAACACACAACAUACAUGCAGCUUUGGAUCUUACCCAUGUCUUCUUGUUCGCUAAAAAGACUCCCCACUUAUAUUUUAUUGUUCACUUUGUAAGAGAAAGAUGAUGAACAGCUUGGAGGAUGAGUGGUGGGACUUUUUGCAAGGACACCCCCUUUGUUUUUGUUUCUUUUUUUAAUUGGUAUGUAAAUGCAAAAAGUUGCAGUGGGUUGAAAAUGGUGCUAUGAAGGGUCACUUCACAAUUCGUCUGCUUUGAUAUCCUUCUCAAGAUUUUCCAUCUUCCUUUUGUUUAAUAUUUUUGUUCUUUUAAGUUUCUGAGAUAAAAUAAACUUGAAAUGUCAUCCAGUUCAAAGAAAGAGCUUCAAUUGAAGCAUGACGACAUUGGAGUGGAAAACUCUAUGACAAUGAAAUCUGAAUCCAUCUUAUCCAGUGAUUGCUAAAAGGACAAAGACUGAACAUGUACAUUGCGUGUAGAAUAUUAAUCAUAGAAUUUACUUUAUCAGAUUCCCUUUUUAUUUUGGAUAUGAGCAUAUGAAUAAUACCACUAAUAGUCUGAUUAUCAGAUUGUAUAAUUUUUCACACUUAAUCAUCUCAACAUGUUGAUCAAUCUUGCCAUGAGAACAAUGAACCGUUUAAAAGUGAUCAUGUUUAUAGCACUUUUAUCAAUAAUACUUUCAUUAAUAAUGUUUUUAAAAACAAAUCACUUAGUAUUUAGAUAUAAAUUUAAAAAAAAAAGUGUUUAAUUGUGUUUUUGGUAAUAUAUUAUAUAUUAAAAAAUAAUUUUUAAAAGUAAUUUGUCCAACAUUUAUUUUUUCAUAAGAAAAUACUAGCAAUAUUACCCAAAAUAAAUAAAUAAAUAAACCUUUGAAAAAUCGUCUUAUUAGUCUCUUUCUAAAAUAUCAGUGAUGUAGCCAUUAUCUUACCAAGAGGGUCGGGACAACAUGACAAAGACUGCCGUUGGUCCAGCCGUCGGCUGGUUCAUUCCGUGGCCGAUACUCAUGAAUUGUGAUCCCCACUCCCCCUGCAGCCACAAAAAGUAACCCAAAAAAGAAACAAAAAUGUAUUAGCAACUAUUUAUGCAAGCAAACGUGUCCUCGUUGGUGGUCCCAUCCAAAAUGACAGGAAAAAUAUUAACUUUCCACAGACAACAGGCAUUACUUGUAAAGAGACAUGGGUGGUAGGGUUGGCAAUGGUGGUCCCAGAGUUUCAGUACAUGGUUUCAGGGUACACCUUUGCCUUGCAAUAUGGAACCUUCAACCCACGUCCACAUAAAUUUGGUCCCCAUGCUCAGGAUAUUUUGGGCACGCUUAAAGAUGAAAUGAAACACGAGAAAUUUUCAUGUAACAGAGGCUGAAUCAUAACCACGUAGAGAAGACACUGGGGACGUGGACUUACAUAGCAGCUGAAUCAUAUUGAAAAAGGAGACUGCAACUCUCUUGAGCCUUACAUGGUCUUCCAUGGCACUGUCCUACUUAUGAACCAGCGCAUGAGCAAUGAUCAUGAAUAACAUUGGGAGGCUUAGAGGAAAAUGGUGGGUUUGUGGGAGGUUGAAGUUUAAGUCUGGGGACAAAAAUAAUACGUUAAACCACAGAGGUGGUACCUACUAAACUCUUCAUGUCAAAAGUCGCAAAUUCUUAGUAAGAUUUAGGUCUUUGAAUGAAUAUACAAACAAUGAAACCAAGCUGCAAAAGAACCAUCGAACCAAACCAAGAUAGAAAGUAGUGGAAUCAAACUUGAUACAAAGUAAUAGGACAUAAAUAUAAAUAUGGCAGGUCUUUUCGGUAUGCAUCCAUUCAGUACUGGAACAGGACCAAUACUGGAACUGGACCCAAAAAAAUGGGGGUUUCAGUAGCACUUAAGUGACCAUUGGGAAAACGCCCAGGAAUUUAGCUGCAUAUGCUUAAUGUUGCUGCAAUAGGACUUUCCUGGAAACUACAAAAUGCCAUGAGAAUUUACAACAGGAUGAAAUUUAACAUGAGUCAAAUUGUAUCAUGGAGAUGCUGCAAGAAAGAAGAAAAACCAGAGGAUAUUGUGAAAAUGCCUGAGAGCAUGCAAGAAUUGGAAACAGGGAGAGUAAGCAAUCAAACAUAAGAGAGCUGGAAAUGAACUCACAUUGUAUGUGUACAUAGGAAAGAUAAGUUUAUUGCAAUGAGAAAACUUUAUCAUAAACAGAAAACCACACAUCAAGUAACUACUCCUUAUUAAUCUGUGCCUUCUGCCAGGACAUUUGUACAUGGCAAAGUAGCAAAGAUCACUAAAAAUUAGUUGCUAGCAUUCCUAUUAUGUUUAUCCAUCCACUGGUUGAUUUCAAUGGGAAAACUAAAAUAUAAACAGCUAAAAACCGGCACUGCCAUUGCUACUAAAUGUUUGGCAAGCACUUGUUAAUUGCAAACAGAACUCUUAGCAUAAUAAGUAACCACUUCUUUUUAUUCGAACAGAAAAAAUCUAACUCAAAGCUCUCAAUAUUCAUAUUGAUUCCAGGUGUAAUCCAAACACAACAGGACCCAAAAAAUGGCUUUCAGAAGGAAUCUACUCCAUGUCUUCCUGCUACAACGUAUAAGGUGUAAAAAGUGAAGACAACAAUUAAAACAAAAAAUUUUAUAAAAGAUAUGAAUUAAACAUGGAAUUUUCUGGAGAAGAUGCUGUUUGGAAGAGACCUACUUCUCAGUCCUAGUGUGCGUUUGGGCAACCACCUGCUUUGUCCUUUCAAGAAUGACAAAGAAAAUUGAACCUCCAAUACCUAUCCAGAGUACUCUUGGCCCGAUACCCUGCAGCAAACAGCCACAAGAUUAAUUGAGGUUGAAAAAACAUUCCAUACUCUGGUUCCAGCAUGAAUUUUUAUUGAUUGGUUCCAGAAUGAUAACUGUACUGGAACACAAUUUCUGAUUUCAGGUCUCAUUAAGAUUAAUUGAGGUUUUCCUUCCAUAAUACAUGCAUAAAUAAUUUAAGUAAAAAUGGAAUGGAUCUUCUCUUUCUAGGUAUUAUUUCAAUUCACCCUUUCUUUAGCUGCACUUUGAGGCAGGACAUAAUUGGUCUACUUCAAUCUUCUAGAAAGAUAAGAAAUAGAAAUGAAAUUGGGAAGUUAUUUUUCUUUCAGCAUGAAAUUUGGAAAUUGUCAAUUGAAUUAUUUGAAUGUCAACAUUGAAAAUGAUAGUGAAUAAAAAUUUUUACUUAAUAUAUAUAUUAUGGAUUUUGUAAUGAAUCUAUGCAUUAAACUCGUAUCUUGUUCAAUUAAACUUUCAAAAUUUUAGUGUUCAAUGUUUUAAUAUGGCUGGAAAUAAUUUAACUUUUUAAAUUCUGCUAUUUUUCAUGAAAUUGGUCAAAUAUUACUCUAUACUUCAUGAUUCCUAUAUAUUUACUUUCUCAAUUUAUCUUCAUCAAGUAAAAAAACUUAUAAUACAAGAUAUGGAAAAAUAGGAAAGCAAUACACAAUAAGAUUUAUGAGUUAAGGUGCACAUGUGCACUCACACAUUCAUAUACAAUGAUUAAUUGUCCAACCAAAAGUUUGAGCAGCACUGACAUGUUACUAAAGAAAAUAAGUUCCUCACAAGCAUUUUCAUAAUAUAUAUACUAAAACCAAACAAGAGAAACGAGAAAUAAAAAGCAUGGCUACUCCACUAUGAAUCACAUUCAUUCUUCAUAAGGUAAACAUGAAAUGGUCCCACCUUGAAAAGAGCAGGAGUUCCUUCUUCUCUUAUGACAGUCCUAACACAGUCAAAAAUCCCUUUGUACUGGUUUGCAGAUCCCUGCAAGGUUAUCCUUCAUGUAUUAAAAAGCAUAAAAGUAAUAUAAAAAAUUGAGAGAGAGAGAGAGAGAAGAAAGGAUGAGAGAAGAAGAACAUAUAAUGGUUUUCCACUAAAGAAGAAGACAAGAAAUCAUCACCACCUGAACCAUUAAUCUAGUCUUUAUCACAUCAAGAGGAGUAGUUAUAGCUCCUGUUAUUGCACCUGUAGAUAAAGGAGAUUUGAUGAAGAAUCUCAUACAAGCAGAGCAUGCAUUAUAUGCAUUAAAUGACAAUUUGAGUUACCGAUCCUAGUAACUUCUUAGCAUAACUUUGAAAACAUCAAGGCCCCAUAUGUUUUAACAGAAGAUGAAAAUAGGAAUGCAGAUCACAGCACUGGGUAAGGUUUUGCCAGUGGAUGGGGUUUAUGAUCACUGUGAUUAUAAUUUGGGUGAGCUAUACAUUGAAGGUUUUAGCAUGGUGUUGAGAGGGUAUAUCCAGCCAGUUUUAUGGAAAGUGGCAACCUAAAAGGUAAAAAAUAAUUAACAACGAAGCCACUCUUGUCAUUAUAUUUUUUUUUAUAAGUAAAAGGAUAUGCAUUAAUAGAGAGGCGAAACGCCACAAAGCAUACAAAGUGUAUACAAGGCGGCUAGGGUCUCAAAAAACAAAGACAAAAAGAAUCACCUCCCCUUAAGUGGAUGCUACCCACUCCAGGAAGCCUAUAAGGGAGAAAGCCUCCUCACCUAAAUACAAUUUGGCCCAACUCCACAAAUUACAGACAAAAAAAUUCUUUAACUUCUGAAUAUUCAACAGACACCCCCUAAAGGCUAAUCUAUUCCUCUCCUUCCAAACCAUCCAAAAAAUACACAACGGAAUAGAGUCCCAAAUCUUUUUUCUUUUCUUCCCCACAAACGAGCCUCUCUAGCUAAUUAAGACCUCCUUUACAGUUUCUAGAAAGACCCAUUUAACAUCUACUAACCCAAGGACAAUAUCCCACAAAGCUCUAACCACUAUAUAAUGUAUAAGGAUAUGAUUUACAUUUUCUUCUUCACACCCACACAAAAAACAACAAUUCGGAAGUUACACCCCUCUUCUUUGAAGUCUAUCCAAAGUAAGCACCUUCCCCCACAUCGCCUCCCACGCAAAGAAGGUGACUUUAGUUGGCACCCUAGCCACCCAAAUACUUCUUGAAAGAAAUCCUGUAUCAUUAGAAUUGGUCAACAAGCAAUAAGCUUCCUUGACCCUGAACUAACCAUUUCUUCCUUGCCUCUAAAAGACUGAAUCUUCCUCCAAAAGAAGGCCUAUGACCCCUCAGCAUAUGGAGUAAAUCCCCAACCAUAUCUAGCUCCCAAUCAUUGAAGUCCCUCAAAAAAUUUAGAUUCCAACAUCCUUGACCAGAAUUUUGGUCCCACAUUUCCUCAAUCAUUGAGCUCCUUUGGACAGCCAUGCCGAAGAGGUGAGGAAAACAAUGGGACAGCGUUGUAUCAGUACAACAAACAUCUGUCCAAAAUCUGAUCUUGUUGCCCUUCCCGACUCAGAAUAUCAUGUUAUCCCAGCA
rnacentral:lncRNA from 1 species